AUUGAACGCUGGCGGCAGGCCUAACACAUGCAAGUCGAACGGUAACAGGGAUCAGCUUGCUGAUUCGCUGACGAGUGGCGGACGGGUGAGUAAUGUCUGGGAAACUGCCUGAUGGAGGGGGAUAACUACUGGAAACGGUAGCUAAUACCGCAUAACGUCGCAAGACCAAAGAGGGGGACCUUCGGGCCUCUUGCCAUCGGAUGUGCCCAGAUGGGAUUAGCUAGUAGGUGGGGUAACGGCUCACCUAGGCGACGAUCCCUAGCUGGUCUGAGAGGAUGACCAGCCACACUGGAACUGAGACACGGUCCAGACUCCUACGGGAGGCAGCAGUGGGGAAUAUUGCACAAUGGGCGCAAGCCUGAUGCAGCCAUGCCGCGUGUAUGAAGAAGGCCUUCGGGUUGUAAAGUACUUUCAGCGGGGAGGAAGGGAGUAAAGUUAAUACCUUUGCGCAUUGACGUUACCCGCAGAAGAAGCACCGGCUAACUCCGUG
rnacentral:rRNA from 1 species